AGAGUUUGAUCAUGGCUCAGAUUGAACGCUGGCGGCAGGCCUAACACAUGCAAGUCGAGCGGUAGCACAGAGAGCUUGCUCUCGGGUGACGAGCGGCGGACGGGUGAGUAAUGUCUGGGAAACUGCCUGAUGGAGGGGGAUAACUACUGGAAACGGUAGCUAAUACCGCAUAACGUCGCAAGACCAAAGUGGGGGACCUUCGGGCCUCAUGCCAUCAGAUGUGCCCAGAUGGGAUUAGCUAGUAGGUGGGGUAAUGGCUCACCUAGGCGACGAUCCCUAGCUGGUCUGAGAGGAUGACCAGCCACACUGGAACUGAGACACGGUCCAGACUCCUACGGGAGGCAGCAGUGGGGAAUAUUGCACAAUGGGCGCAAGCCUGAUGCAGCCAUGCCGCGUGUAUGAAGAAGGCCUUCGGGUUGUAAAGUACUUUCAGCGAGGAGGAAGGCGUUAAGGUUAAUAACCUUGGCGAUUGACGUUACUCGCAGAAGAAGCACCGGCUAACUCCGUGCCAGCAGCCGCGGUAAUACGGAGGGUGCAAGCGUUAAUCGGAAUUACUGGGCGUAAAGCGCACGCAGGCGGUCUGUCAAGUCGGAUGUGAAAUCCCCGGGCUCAACCUGGGAACUGCAUUCGAAACUGGCAGGCUAGAGUCUUGUAGAGGGGGGUAGAAUUCCAGGUGUAGCGGUGAAAUGCGUAGAGAUCUGGAGGAAUACCGGUGGCGAAGGCGGCCCCCUGGACAAAGACUGACGCUCAGGUGCGAAAGCGUGGGGAGCAAACAGGAUUAGAUACCCUGGUAGUCCACGCCGUAAACGAUGUCGACUUGGAGGUUGUGCCCUUGAGGCGUGGCUUCCGGAGCUAACGCGUUAAGUCGACCGCCUGGGGAGUACGGCCGCAAGGUUAAAACUCAAAUGAAUUGACGGGGGCCCGCACAAGCGGUGGAGCAUGUGGUUUAAUUCGAUGCAACGCGAAGAACCUUACCUACUCUUGACAUCCAGAGAACUUAGCAGAGAUGCUUUGGUGCCUUCGGGAACUCUGAGACAGGUGCUGCAUGGCUGUCGUCAGCUCGUGUUGUGAAAUGUUGGGUUAAGUCCCGCAACGAGCGCAACCCUUAUCCUUUGUUGCCAGCGGUCCGGCCGGGAACUCAAAGGAGACUGCCAGUGAUAAACUGGAGGAAGGUGGGGAUGACGUCAAGUCAUCAUGGCCCUUACGAGUAGGGCUACACACGUGCUACAAUGGCAUAUACAAAGAGAAGCGACCUCGCGAGAGCAAGCGGACCUCAUAAAGUAUGUCGUAGUCCGGAUUGGAGUCUGCAACUCGACUCCAUGAAGUCGGAAUCGCUAGUAAUCGUAGAUCAGAAUGCUACGGUGAAUACGUUCCCGGGCCUUGUACACACCGCCCGUCACACCAUGGGAGUGGGUUGCAAAAGAAGUAGGUAGCUUAACCUUCGGGAGGGCGCUUACCACUUUGUGAUUCAUGACUGGGGUGAAGUCGUAACAAGGUAACCGUAGGGGAACCUGCGGUUGGAUCACCU
rnacentral:rRNA from 8 species